rnacentral:rRNA from 1 species
CCUACGGGUGGCAGCAGUGAGGAAUAUUGGUCAAUGGACGCAAGUCUGAACCAGCCAAGUCGCGUGAAGGAUGACGGCCCUAUGAGUUGUAAACUUCUUUUGUACGGGAGUAAAAGUUACCACGUGUGUUGUUUUGUAUGUACCGUAAGAAUAAGGAUCGGCUAACUCCGUGCCAGCAGCCGCGGUAAUACGGAGGAUCCAAGCGUUAUCCGGAUUUAUUGGGUUUAAAGGGAGCGUAGGCGGAUAUGUAAGUCUGAGGGGAAAUGUCCGGGCCUAACCCCGGAACUGCUUUUGAGACUGUGUAUCUGGAGUGCAGGAGAGGUAGGCGGAAUGCAUGGUGUAGCGGUGAAAUGCAUAGAUAUCAGGCAGAACGCCGGUUGCGAAGGCAGCAUAC